rnacentral:rRNA from 1 species
UAAGGAAUAUUGGUCAAUGGACGCAAGUCUGAACCAGCCAUGCCGCGUGGAGGAUUAAGGCCCUCUUGGUUGUAAACUCCUUUUAUCUGGGAAGAAAUGUACUUUUUCUUGAGUACUUGACGGUACCAGAGGAAUAAGCACCGGCUAACUCCGUGCCAGCAGCCGCGGUAAUACGGAGGGUGCAAGCGUUAUCCGGAUUCACUGGGUUUAAAGGGUGCGUAGGUGGGCAGGUAAGUCAGUGGUGAAAUCUCCGGGCUUAACCCGGAAACUGCCGUUGAUACUAUUUGUCUUGAAUAUUGUGGAGGUAAGCGGAAUAUGUCAUGUAGCGGUGAAAUGCUUAGAUAUGACAUAGAACACCAAUUGCGAAGGCAGCUUACUACACAAUCAUUGACGCUGAGGCACGAAAGCGUGGGGAUCAAACA